rnacentral:rRNA from 1 species
GAUGAACGCUGGCGGCGUGCUUAACACAUGCAAGUCGAACGGAAAGGCCCAAGCUUGCUUGGGUACUCGAGUGGCGAACGGGUGAGUAACACGUGGGUGAUCUGCCCUGCACUUCGGGAUAAGCCUGGGAAACUGGGUCUAAUACCGGAUAGGACGAUGGUUUGGAUGCCAUUGUGGAAAGUUUUUUCGGUGUGGGAUGAGCUCGCGGCCUAUCAGCUUGUUGGUGGGGUAAUGGCCUACCAAGGCGUCGACGGGUAGCCGGCCUGAGAGGGUGUACGGCCACAUUGGGACUGAGAUACGGCCCAGACUCCUACGGGAGGCAGCAGUGGGGAAUAUUGCACAAUGGGCGCAAGCCUGAUGCAGCGACGCCGCGUGGGGGAUGACGGCCUUCGGGUUGUAAACUCCUUUCGCUAGGGACGAAGCGUUUUUGUGAUGGUACCUGGAGAAGAAGCACCGGCUAACUACGUG